UGUGCAGCCGAAGGUUGCAAGAAAAACUCCUCGGCCCCUCGGACCAUCUUUCCUGUUUCCAAAUGCCGGGGACCAGUGUCUGUGACUGCGCCGCCUGCCUGAGGGCAUGUACUGAAAAGCCCUGCGACUCCAACAUGUGGGACUCACAAGCACCUUGGACAGGCCUCAAAACGCGGCUGACAUACAGAAUUUUUACCAUUAACGACCUGAGGCAGGACUGGUGGAGUGAGCCAGGAUACUGGGACGUUUGAGGAUAAACUUUUAAAGGAGAAAUGUAAAUGAUCUGUGGGAUAAAAGAGCAAUUUUGUAUAUGAUCUACUAUAAGGUAUGGAUCAAUCAAACAAGUAUUUAUUGAGUUCCUUCUCUGAGUUAACAAGGUGGGUAUAUGGAUCAGACUUCACAGCAAUU
rnacentral:lncRNA from 1 species